AUGUUCAUCUUUUGUUUUCAAAAUUUCUGUGUCAAUGAAAAUUAAGAACAGUCAGUUUCCUCAGGCCAUCCUUAAAAAAAUGUUUUUUGGAAUUGCCGCCUGGAGGUUUCUACACCAAGGAGGGAGGGAAUUUUUGUUUUGUUUUGUUAAAAUUUGUAAAAAUAAACUUAUCAGCGAGGGGUAUUUCAGUAAGGCAGGAGACCAUUCCAAACAAUAUUUUUUUUUGGCAUCUGGUGUAGUUAAUCUAUGGGUGGACCUUUCAUGUCAACUCUCUGCUUUUUGACUCCAACUUCCUUUCUGUUGUCUUACCGGCUACUGAAACCAACACCACCUUCAUCAUUUAUAAUGGCAGUUUGUGAAAGCAACAAAUCGUCGUUUCAAUGAUGAUGAAAAAAUCAAAUUCAAGUUUUGUUUGGGGAGUUUGUCACUCAUGUUUGGUUUGGCACAUGUUUGUCAGUUUUUUGUUCUAGCUAAUGCACCAAUAAUUUAGAAACACUCUUCUAUUGGAGACAGUACUUUUUGAUUUUCAAUCAUGAAUGAAAAAAAUAUUAUGAAUCAAAUCUGACCAUUUUCUGUCACUGAUGCUAUGGGAAGUGUUCUAUGUAUUUAUUGAUAGUUUAUUCCUUUGUAUCAAAACUUAUGCACACCAAUAAUCCAUUCAAUUUUCUAUUGUUUUCUAUUUAUAAGCUUUUGUUUUUAUAAUAAAAGUUAUUAUAGAAUUU
rnacentral:sRNA from 1 species